rnacentral:rRNA from 1 species
UUUAACUGAAGAGUUUGAUCAUGGCUCAGAUUGAACGCUGGCGGCAGGCUUAACACAUGCAAGUCGAGCGGGGGAAGGUAGCUUGCUACUGGACCUAGCGGCGGACGGGUGAGUAAUGCUUAGGAAUCUGCCUAUUAGUGGGGGACAACAUCUCGAAAGGGAUGCUAAUACCGCAUACGUCCUACGGGAGAAAGCAGGGGAUCUUCGGACCUUGCGCUAAUAGAUGAGCCUAAGUCGGAUUAGCUAGUUGGUGGGGUAAAGGCCUACCAAGGCGACGAUCUGUAGCGGG